AAGAGACUCUUUCAAAGCUUGUUGGUUUUCAUGCAUCAAGCAAAUAGUUGAAUGUGUUUUGGGUUUGGAACAUCGUGAGGGUGAGUAAAUGAUGAGCAUAACACCUUUAAUGCAAGAGGUUUUAAUCCCCCCAAACUCCUCCAGAUGAGCACACGUGAACCGGUGGAGCCUCGGUCAUUUUUGUGAACUGCUGGUUUCACGAGCGGCUCUAGUACUCAGAGUGCUGUUCUCUGCAGAGGUCUGAGAGCGGAACAGGAAGCAGAUCUGCAGUGAUUCGCAGCUGUUUCUGCUCAGUCAUUAACAUAUUCAUCUCUCGGCAGAGCAGCAGGUGUGUUAUGACGUUUAGUUCUGCUUCACUCUCACACACUUCACACACACACACACACACACACACACUCUCUGCUGGCAAUUAGCUCUGUUUUUCUGAUGGUCUUUCCAUCGCAGCUGAGAUUUCAACUGUUUAACGCCAGCGGCCAGACGUACAGCAGCACAAAACAGUGCUUCAAACCAAACAAAAUGAAUAUCAGUCCUGUAUAAAUUUAAUUAAAUACACUACACUUAAUAUGAAGUUUUAUUUUGCAUGUCUGAGACUAAAAUGUUUUGUAGUCAUGGAUAGGUUUUGACUACUACAGGAGUAGAGGAGUGUUCGCUCUUCUCAGUCCACUGAGUGUUUCUGUGGAAGCUGAAGGAUCUCAGAUGGUUGUGCUGGGAAACUGUUCCGCGUCUGCUCUCAUCUGUCUGUCAGCGGAUGCUCAGGCGUUUGCUCUGAUUGUUCUGGAUUAUUGUGUUUGGCCGGAGGGAUGCAGUCCAGCCCCUAAAGGUCAACGGCACGAGUGGCAUUUGGGUUCUGACAGGCGACCCAGAUUCACUGAUCUUCAUGUUCUGUUGCAGUCAGAGACGUGACUCCUGGAGAGUGUGCUUCAGUUUCUCCUGAGGAGAGGAUACACCAGCCUUCAGAGCAGUGACAGACCUUCAUACACACACACACACACACACACACACACACACACACACACACACACACACUCACACUCACACACACACACACACACACAAACACACUCACACACACACACACACACUCCAUUCAGCUCAAGUCAGUCAGGCUGUUUGUUUCAUACCAGUGUGUGUGUGUGUGUGUGUGUGUGUGUGUGUGUGUGUGUUUAGCUAUUUUAAGCAUGUUUUGGGGACAUCCUCUUCUGUAAACACACCAUAAAAUAAAUAGAGGUUUGUGAGAUUUUUAUUGGUUAAAAUGCUGAACAUGUUCGUGUUUUCUUAUGGUAUUUAUUAUAACUAGUGGUAAGUAAAAACAGUAAGUCUGUGGAAUGUGUCCGCUGAUCUAAGACUGUCAACAUGACACAGAUAUAAUAUAUGAUGUUUACUCUGAUCAGCAGAGGUGAUUUAACAACUUCUUUUUUCUUUCCACAGUUAUAUAUAUUAAAUGUUUUAUUGUCUCUGUCUGGAUGUAAGUGAAGAAUUAUUUGUAAGUUUUGUUUUUUCAGGUUCUGAUGAUUAAUGUGUACACAUGCACCUCAUUAUUAAUGUGCUUUUCCAUUAAUGACUGCUGUCUGUUUCUGUUGAACUAUCGGUGUGUGUGCAUUCAUCUCUUCAAAGAUGUGUUCAAAUGUAUUAUUUUCUGGGCUGUUUCAAAUAUGAAAAAAUAUUGUUAACAUGUUUCUUUAUGCUCAAAGAAAUAUAGUGUCACAAAUCGACUGAUUUAACACAAAUGCCGACAUCUGUCUGCGUGUAGCUGUGUGUGUUUUUCUGACUGUGUGUGUGUUUGUGUUCUGAGAUCCAGAG
ensembl:lncRNA